UACAGAGGGUGCAAGCGUUGUUCGGAAUUACUGGGCGUAAAGGGCGUGUAGGCGGUUUGAUAAGUCAGAUGUUAAAGACCCGGGCUUAACCUGGGGGCUGCGUUUGAUACUGUUAGGCUAGAGAGCAGGAGGGGAGAGUGGAAUUUCCGGUGUAGAGGUAAAAUUCGUAGAUAUCGGAAGGAACACCAGUGGCGAAGGCGAUUCUCUGGACUGCAACUGACGCUGAGGCGCGAAAGCGUGGGAGCGAACA
rnacentral:rRNA from 1 species